rnacentral:rRNA from 1 species
AAUGAACGCUGGCGGCAUGCCUAAUACAUGCAAGUCGAACGACAACACAGUAAGCUUUCUCUCCUACGGGUGGCGACUGGCGGAUGGGUGACGCAUACAUCGGCAUCCACUUUUUCUUGGGUGACUACGUAGGGCCACUUACGCUACUACCUCAUAUGUUCUACCGCUUAAAUCAGUAGUUCUACGCACCUUUCGUGAUUCAUAUAGCCGAUGUCGGAUUAGCUAGUUGGCGGGGUAAAGGCCCACCAAGGCGACGAUCCGUAGCUGGUCUGAGAGGAUGAUCGGCCACACUGGAACUGAGACACGGUCCAGACUCCUACGGGAGGCAGCAGUAGGGAAUAUUGGACAAUGGGCGCAAGCCUGAUCCAGCAAUACCGCGUGGGUGAAGAAGGCCUUCGGGUUGUAAAGCCCUGUUGUUGGGAAAGAAAAGCAGCAGGUGAAUACCCCGCUGUUCUGACGGUACCCAAAGAAUAAGCACCGGCUAACUUCGUG